GGGUUGUGAGGUUAAGCGACUAAGCGUACACGGUGGAUGCCCUGGCAGUCAGAGGCGAUGAAGGACGUGCUAAUCUGCGAAAAGCGUCGGUAAGGUGAUAUGAACCGUUAUAACCGGCGAUGUCCGAAUGGGGAAACCCAGUGCAAUUCGUUGCACUAUCGUUAACUGAAUACAUAGGUUAACGAGGCGAACCGGGGGAACUGAAACAUCUAAGUACCCCGAGGAAAAGAAAUCAACCGAGAUUCCCCCAGUAGCGGCGAGCGAACGGGGAGCAGCCCAGAGUCUGAAUCAGCUUGUGUGUUAGUGGAACGGUCUGGAAAGUCCGACGGUACAGGGUGAUAGUCCCGUACACCAAAAUGCACAGGUUGUGAACUCGAAGAGUAGGGCGGGACACGUGGUAUCCUGUCUGAAUAUGGGGGGACCAUCCUCCAAGGCUAAAUACUCCUGACUGACCGAUAGUGAACCAGUACCGUGAGGGAAAGGCGAAAAGAACCCCGGCGAGGGGAGUGAAAAAGAACCUGAAACCGUGUACGUACAAGCAGUGGGAGCACCUUCGGGUGUGACUGCGUACCUUUUGUAUAAUGGGUCAGCGACUUAUAUUCUGUAGCAAGGUUAACCGUAUAGGGGAGCCGCAGGGAAACCGAGUCUUAACUGGGCGUUAAGUUGCAGGGUAUAGACCCGAAACCCGGUGAUCUAGCCAUGGGCAGGUUGAAGGUUGGGUAACACUAACUGGAGGACCGAACCGACUAAUGUUGAAAAAUUAGCGGAUGACUUGUGGCUGGGGGUGAAAGGCCAAUCAAACCGGGAGAUAGCUGGUUCUCCCCGAAAGCUAUUUAGGUAGCGCCUCGUGAACUCAUCUUCGGGGGUAGAGCACUGUUUCGGCUAGGGGGUCAUCCCGACUUACCAACCCGAUGCAAACUACGAAUACCGAAGAAUGUUAUCACGGGAGACACACGGCGGGUGCUAACGUCCGUCGUGAAGAGGGAAACAACCCAGACCGCCAGCUAAGGUCCCAAAGUCAUGGUUAAGUGGGAAACGAUGUGGGAAGGCACAGACAGCCAGGAUGUUGGCUUAGAAGCAGCCAUCAUUUAAAGAAAGCGUAAUAGCUCACUGGUCGAGUCGGCCUGCGCGGAAGAUGUAACGGGGCUAAACCAUGCACCGAAGCUGCGGCAGCGACACUAUGUGUUGUUGGGUAGGGGAGCGUUCUGUAAGCCUGCGAAGGUGUGCUGUGAGGCAUGCUGGAGGUAUCAGAAGUGCGAAUGCUGACAUAAGUAACGAUAAAGCGGGUGAAAAGCCCGCUCGCCGGAAGACCAAGGGUUCCUGUCCAACGUUAAUCGGGGCAGGGUGAGUCGACCCCUAAGGCGAGGCCGAAAGGCGUAGUCGAUGGGAAACAGGUUAAUAUUCCUGUACUUGGUGUUACUGCGAAGGGGGGACGGAGAAGGCUAUGUUAGCCGGGCGACGGUUGUCCCGGUUUAAGCAUGUAGGCUGGUUAUCCAGGCAAAUCCGGAUAAUCAAGGCUGAGGUGUGAUGACGAGGCACUACGGUGCUGAAGUAACAAAUGCCCUGCUUCCAGGAAAAGCCUCUAAGCAUCAGGUAACAUUAAAUCGUACCCCAAACCGACACAGGUGGUCAGGUAGAGAAUACCAAGGCGCUUGAGAGAACUCGGGUGAAGGAACUAGGCAAAAUGGUGCCGUAACUUCGGGAGAAGGCACGCUGGUGUGUAGGUGAAGUCCCUGCGGAUGGAGCUGAGACCAGUCGAAGAUACCAGCUGGCUGCAACUGUUUAUUAAAAACACAGCACUGUGCAAACACGAAAGUGGACGUAUACGGUGUGACGCCUGCCCGGUGCCGGAAGGUUAAUUGAUGGGGUUAUCCGUAAGGAGAAGCUCUUGAUCGAAGCCCCGGUAAACGGCGGCCGUAACUAUAACGGUCCUAAGGUAGCGAAAUUCCUUGUCGGGUAAGUUCCGACCUGCACGAAUGGCGUAAUGAUGGCCAGGCUGUCUCCACCCGAGACUCAGUGAAAUUGAACUCGCUGUGAAGAUGCAGUGUACCCGCGGCAAGACGGAAAGACCCCGUGAACCUUUACUAUAGCUUGACACUGAACAUUGAGCCUUGAUGUGUAGGAUAGGUGGGAGGCUUUGAAGCGUGGACGCCAGUCUGCGUGGAGCCAACCUUGAAAUACCACCCUUUAAUGUUUGAUGUUCUAACGUUGGCCCCUUACCGGGGUUGCGGACAGUGUCUGGUGGGUAGUUUGACUGGGGCGGUCUCCUCCCAAAGCGUAACGGAGGAGCACGAAGGUUAGCUAAUCCUGGUCGGACAUCAGGAGGUUAGUGCAAUGGCAUAAGCUAGCUUGACUGCGAGCGUGACGGCGCGAGCAGGUGCGAAAGCAGGUCAUAGUGAUCCGGUGGUUCUGAAUGGAAGGGCCAUCGCUCAACGGAUAAAAGGUACUCCGGGGAUAACAGGCUGAUACCGCCCAAGAGUUCAUAUCGACGGCGGUGUUUGGCACCUCGAUGUCGGCUCAUCACAUCCUGGGGCUGAAGUAGGUCCCAAGGGUAUGGCUGUUCGCCAUUUAAAGUGGUACGCGAGCUGGGUUUAGAACGUCGUGAGACAGUUCGGUCCCUAUCUGCCGUGGGCGCUGGAGAAUUGAGGGGGGCUGCUCCUAGUACGAGAGGACCGGAGUGGACGCAUCACUGGUGUUCGGGUUGUCAUGCCAAUGGCACUGCCCGGUAGCUAAAUGCGGAAGAGAUAAGUGCUGAAAGCAUCUAAGCACGAAACUUGCCCCGAGAUGAGUUCUCCCUGAGACUUUAAGUCUCCUGAAGGAACGUUGAAGACGACGACGUUGAUAGGCCGGGUGUGUAAGCGCAGCGAUGCGUUGAGCUAACCGGUACUAAUGAACCGUGAGGCUUAACCUUACAACGCCGAAG
rnacentral:rRNA from 1 species